CUCUCUCUCUCUCUCUCUGAAAUUUUAUUGUGAUGUGCUCUAAUUGCUUGACCGAAAUUUCACCAUAGAACUACAGGUUGAGUUUUGAUUGUUCUAUCUCUGUUUCUGUGUGAGCACGCACAAGUGUGUGCUCCUCUGCAUUGUUAUUAUUAUUAUUUGUAAUCUCGAGUUCACUUCCAGAAAAGAAAAAAAAAUUUUUGCAGAAUGAGAGGUUGAAAUGUUAGGUUCGUUAUAUGUAAUGAUUUGAUAGUCUGGAUUUGAUUUACUAUGACUAGUUUAGAUUAAAUUUUAUGAGAUGACCAUAAUUGUCAUUGAAAUUAUGAGAUUGCUGUCUAUUACAAUGAUAUAAGAUUUUAUAUUGACCUCUCUUAGGGAGUGUAUUAGUAAUUUAACCAAAAUAAAAUAAAAUAAAAUUUGGAACACUUGGUAUGCAGCAAGUCCAAACAGAGCGACUGAAAAGAGAGCAACAUAGAGCAUAAUAAGCAGCCACCAAAUCAACCAACAAGUGAAUCCAAUGCCUGAGUUGUAUUGAAUCAACUACCUACCUACUACAAUGAGUCAAAAGACAAAUCAGCUAAUUUUUAACUCUUAAGCCAUAAAUAAUUAGAUUUCUAUCCUAUCAUAUCCCCAUUUGCUUUUGUAUUCAAGCAUGCACCUGUAUAAGAUCAAAGUGCCUUCAUUAGUAGCUGAAGCAUUGAGAAAGGGAGAAAAAAGGAAUGGCCUACUCUUCCUCUUGGCCAAGUUUUUUUUUGUUGGUUUCACUCUUACUUGGCUUCUUAUUGCAGAUUGGGUUAACAAUAUUUGUAGCAGGUCCCAAUAUGCUGGUUUUUGCACCGCAACUUUGAGGCCUGACCAAAAUGCUGGGUUAACAAUAGUAGAACCUUUAAAUUUUAUUCAGUUAAAUAGUCUACUAGGAUCCUUUCAAUUUUUGUGCAGUUAGAUCCACUAUGAUCCAGGUCUGUGGUACAUAAUGUUAAAUCCACACAUUUUAAAUCCACAUCCAUUCAAAUAGAUCCUAAGAAUUUCAACUCUUUCUAUCUCUCUACAAUUUUUGUAAUUUCUGAGCUGGAUGGCUAUUUGACACAAAAUAAAUAAUAAAUAAAUAAAAUUUAUACAUGUAUAAUAUGACUACUACUCCUUGUGACAAGUUGGGAUGAAGUUGCUAAGCACUGAUGAUGCAUCUUCAAUAUUGUUUUUGGUCACAUCUCAAUCAACUUGAUUAAUGUGAAUUGUGUAAUGAGCCAAAGUGACCAUGCCUCAAGGAAGAGACGGCAAAAUUGGCGAUGAUGUAGAUCAGUUAGAGAUUGAUGAUGGAAGAGAUUGUAUUACCUUGCCAUAAUGUGGGAAAGUGGUGAAAUGUGUGCAAUGAAGGAGGUUACAUUAUUCUCGAAUGACGCAAAGUCAAAGGAAAGUGCAAACCAGUUGGGACAAGAAAUUGCUUUAUUGAGUCGGUUAAAGCAUCCUAAUAUUGUGCAGUAUUAUGGGUCUGAAUGAGGAUAUUGAAGGAGCAAAUAUCCUUGUGGACCUAAAUGGCUGUAUCAAAUUGGCUGAUUUUGGAAUGGCAAAGCAUGUAAGUCUAGGCAGUAAUAUGUAUAUACUCGUGAAAUGUAAUCAAACCAAUUGAGUAUUAGUCAUGUUUGAGUUAAGUACUAAAUUGUAUGUUUGUGUGUGUGAAUAUUAUCAUUCAUUGAGUUUACACAAGCAGGGAUAUUUUUUUUUAAA